rnacentral:rRNA from 1 species
UCCUGACUGACCGAUAGUGAACCAGUACCGUGAGGGAAAGGCGAAAAGAACCCCGGCGAGGGGAGUGAAAAAGAACCUGAAACCGUGUACGUACAAGCAGUGGGAGCACAGAGCAAUCUGUGUGACUGCGUACCUUUUGUAUAAUGGGUCAGCGACUUAUAUUCUGUAGCAAGGUUAACCGAAUAGGGGAGCCGAAGGGAAACCGAGUCUUAACUGGGCGUUAAGUUGCAGGGUAUAGACCCGAAACCCGGUGAUCUAGCCAUGGGCAGGUUGAAGGUUGGGUAACACUAACUGGAGGACCGAACCGACUAAUGUUGAAAAAUUAGCGGAUGACUUGUGGCUGGGGGUGAAAGGCCAAUCAAACCGGGAGAUAGCUGGUUCUCCCCGAAAGCUAUUUAGGUAGCGCCUCGUGAAUUCAUCUCCGGGGGUAGAGCACUGUUUCGGCAAGGGGGUCAUCCCGACUUACCAACCCGAUGCAAACUGCGAAUACCGGAGAAUGUUAUCACGGGAGACACACGGCGGGUGCUAACGUCCGUCGUGAAGAGGGAAACAACCCAGACCGCCAGCUAAGGUCCCAAAGUCAUGGUUAAGUGGGAAACGAUGUGGGAAGGCCCAGACAGCCAGGAUGUUGGCUUAGAAGCAGCCAUCAUUUAAAGAAAGCGUAAUAGCUCACUGGUCGAGUCGGCCUGCGCG